rnacentral:telomerase_RNA from 1 species
ACGGAAGUGUGGAGUAGGGGGUUUAUGAGUGGACCGACAGUAUCUUUCAGAUACACAAGCGUGUCCGUUGUUAACUAACCCAAACUAUUAUAACAAAAGUCUAUCUAUCUAGAUAGACCAAGCUCCGUUCAUCGUAGAGCACAUUGGUUUGUUCGCUCUGCUUCCAAUCAAAAACUGCAAGGGUAUUCUCAUAAACCCCUUAUUUUGGAAGUCUGAAGAACCAUAGAGCUCUUAUCGUUAGAUUUUCCCUGGCGUUUUCCAUUUU